UAAGUCGCACCCCUCCAACCUCCCAAGAUGGUGGAAAUUCUUAGUUCUCUUUUUUUCUCCUCUGACAUGGCUUUGGCAGGGAAUACCAACCAUCACUGGAACUGACUGUUCGUCCCGCCCUGAUGGAGCAUGAGCCCCAAAUGUUUAGAUUUCCACUUCCUCCGAGGGAGACUGGAAGGGCUCCUCAUUUUGAUAAUACAGCAGAUAGUCCUUGUGUCCAUAUGACUGUCAUUUAAGGACGUCUGUGUCAGCAGGCCUUCAUUUUUCCUAUUUGUUAGCCUGGAAAACACCCUUAUUAGUAACAAACAUAGGUCUUACUAAGGCAGUGUGAAAAUUCCCUUCUAUGUUUCCCCAAAUGAAGCUAGAGAUCUGAUUUUUUUUUUAACAUGGUGGGAGGUUUCUGUAUUAUUAUUGUUUAAAAUCAAUUUCCUUUACUCCAUAUUCUUUUCCUGUUGUUUAUUUUAUCUGUCCUGCUCUCCCAGAGGGGCAGAAUUAAGGCCCCCAUUUGGUUUUUAUUAGUGUAAUCAGUUAAUAGCUGUUCUAUAAUGCUUUACUUAUUGUGUUAAUUUUCUGUACUUAUGUCCAGAGGCAGCUUCCUGGAGGACCACAUUUAAAAAAAUAGAAGAUCUAACUUAACUUCAUCUUUAAUGGGUCCAGCAACCAUUUAUAGUUUCAGCUAAGAUUACUGAAUACUAUUGAUUUAUAAGGUCAUUGAAAAUAUAUAUAAACUGCAGCUACUAUUUUAACUAUAUCAACGGGAAGCCUAAAAAGUCCUUUAGCCUGGUAAAGGUACAAACACUAACCCCAGGGUCUCAGUGGACAUUGGCUUAUCACUCCUCUUCUCUGGGUUUGUCUUGAAUGUUGGAGGUAUGAGUGUUCACUGUUCCCACGCAUACUGUGGCAGUCACUGCAAGCUAAACUCUGGGUCUCAGGGACCACUCUUCAAUUACUGUUGGGGGCUUUAAAGGGAAUGUACCUUACAUGGACUUUAGUAUUCGUGGCACCAGUUUUCAAAUUAAAACAGAGUUUCAAAGUAUAGCACAGGGACAAACUAACUUACCUGAAGGGAUACAAAGGAGCUAUUUGUGAUCUAUAAGAUAGGCUGGGUCCCUACGUUAAGUUUCAUUCUGAAUGAGAUGGAUGUAUUGAAGGAAAGAGCAUGGCGCAGGCAUCAGUACUGUGGGUUCUGGACCUCCCUCUAAUGUGAAUCAGCUCUUGAGACGUAUAGGGACCUCCUUUUCCUCUUCUGUAAAACAAAAGUUGGGAUGAGGGUAUUCUCAUUGUGGCUCUGUUGUAAUGAACCCGAGUAGGAUCCAUGAGGAUUCGGGUUCAAUCCCUGGCCUUGCCUUAAGGAUCUGGUGUUGCCAUGAGUUGUGGUGUAAGUCGCAGACACAGCUCAGACCCUGCAUUGCUGUGACUGUGGCUGUGGCUGUGGCGGCAGCUGCAGCUCCAGUUUGAACCUUAGCCUGGGAACCUCCAUAGGAACAUGUGUUUGAAUCCGGAUUAGAAUGCUUCUCUUUCACUGUUGUGUCUCUGGAGAUGGGCAGGCACUUGGCACAAAACCGGAGCCCAUCCAGGCUUUUCUAAUUAGUUUUUAUUGUGAAGCCUAAGUAAAAUUCUACUUGAGGAAGUGAUUCCCAUAGUACCAAGGCCAUGAGUGGCAGCCUGGAUGGAAGUCAUCAGGGUCAGCUGUUUAUUUGUCAAAUAAAAGCUUUGGAGAUGAAUCAGCGAAGUAGUUUCUAACUAAGAAAGUCAGAAUUGCCUGCCAUGUUAAGCAAAUGGGAGGGUUUGGAGGUGGCCCAACAUCCAGUGCUCCCAGCAGUCAGGGCACGUUACUCAGGAUCAGCUCCCUGAGAAGCCAUGCAGGAGCUUGCUCUGGGGAAGGGCUGAGAGGGAGAGGAUGGGGAGUUCCCAGUGUGGCUCAGAGGGUUAAGAACACGGCAUAGUGUCCAUGAGGAUGUGGUUUUGAUCCCUGGUCUCACUCAGUGGAUGAAGGAUCCUGCAUUGCUGCAAGCGUUGCUGUGCCUGUGGCGUAGGCUCCAAUUUGACACCUAGCGCAGGAACUUCCAUAUGCUGCAGAUGUGGCAUAAC
rnacentral:lncRNA from 1 species